CAAAUUUAUCCUUUCAGGCGCCGCACGAGGCGAGGAGCUCAGAGCUAUGGCGAUGGCCGAGGCGGGAGGCGGGAGGCGAGGAGCUCAGAGCUAUGGCGAUGGCGGAGUCGGGAGGCGAUGGAUUCGAGUUCCUAUCAGAUCCGGUUAGGAGGUAUGUUUUGCUGCCGGCGCUUUUUGUUUCUGGUGUAGGCCGCUGUCAGAUCUCGCGGCCGCCGAAUCCUUGCUGGACGGCGAAGGCAACCAAACUCUGGUAUUCAUGGCCGCUGGAUCCAGCAUUGGUGAUGGGCGAUGCACUCACAGCGGAGAUAUUUUUCAUGGCUUCCCUGAUGGAGACUGCUUUGUGUCUUGGUCGAACUCAUUGAAAUUAUGGUGGCGAUUGUGUAAAUGGAGGUGCGCCUACAAAACAAACAUGCCUUCGUGUGAGAUGCUCGUACAAACCUAGGGAUUUCAGAGUAACACAUUCGAAUAGUUUGGAAAUUUCAUCUCUGAAGCAACAAAAAUGACAAAAGAAUAGCACUGUGCAAGUAUAAUGCAUAUUGGCAAAAGGAAAAAAAAAGUAAACGUGCAAAUUACAUACAUAGCAAAAUACAUAUUUUUUUGACCAUUUAUGCUGCCAGCUUUCUACAAUUGGUAUAUGACACUAUUACCAUAGGAGCACGUACUAGCAUCUAAAAAUAUCUAUUUAGUUAGCCGGGAAUAAUAUUAACAAAAAAAAAUGCACAUGGUUCAUAUUUUUAUUUUGAAAAAAGAUUGAUCUCAAGUAUCUACUCCGGAGAUAGUUUGCGGCUGCUCGGUUAGUAUCAUUUUUUUAUUCACCAUCAUAUGUAUGAGAGUGAUGCUUGUGACCAUAAAAAUGAAACUCACAUAUCGUUAUUUCUCACAAAAUAUUUUGCAGGGUGUCCCGCAAAGAAGUAACACCUGGUCUUACCGAUGUAGGUGCCCAUACGGUUACUCCAUUCAAAGGACAAUGGAUGGUACAUAAGUGAGCACAGGACAUUCCACAAUCACUCUCUUACAGAUAAGUGUGGUGAGAAACUAUACUGGCCCUCACACAAACAUAUCGACAUAUAUACACAUGACCUUGUCAAGCUGCUCCGUGAAAAAAAUAUCAGCAUCAGCAAAGUGUACAAUAUAAUUGAUAGUUUCUUUGGUUCAAUGAGCAAUGUGCCUUUCAGCAAAAGAGCGUUAAGGGGGCUUUGUUGAGAAAUCAGCCGAGAUCAGGCGGAUGAUGAUGUCAGGAAGACAAUGCAAGUUUUUGCUGAGCUAGAAUCCAAAGAUUUUGGGUUUGUACUACAGAGUGCAGCCAGAUGAAGACAACCGCAUACGGAAUCUGUUACGGUCAACAGGAGCAAGCAGAGCACAGUACUAUUACUCGCUCUCAACGUGCCAUUUGUGGUCGUCUUGAUCGUCAGUGUGCAGAUGGCCCCGCAAUAAACAAUGACGAUGGCGGUGUUGUGCAUACAACAACCAUGGAAACAUCAGCUGGAACCACUACUUUUCCUUCCGUGAGAACACCAGUCAUCGUAACACACUCGAUGAGCAUGCUGUCAAUGGGUGCAGACAAUCUUGUUCCUGACACGGGCAAUAAUUGACCACUCCGGGAUGCGAAGUCCAAGAGCAGCUGAAUGCGAAACAACACAUGACAUUGACUUGUUGGCAGCGGUGGCCACAGGCACCUGCCCUGCCCAGAUCACAUCUCCAGCAGCAAAUGGAAAUCCCAACAUACUUGCAACUGCUCCUGCUGAUGCACCUCCAUCCGAAGCUGGGCCUAGCAACUGGCAACCCAUGAGAGUACCGCCUGAUGCUCCAUCUGAAAAGAGAGCCGGAUGUUGUGGUCGCAAGAUUUGCAAGACUAAUAAUAGACUUCUGCCAUUUACAGCUUAUACGGGAAGAUGGGAGGAUGCAACCCAGUUGAGCUUCGUAGAUUUGUGUGUUGCUCCUGUUUCGUACACCCUCAGACAUGUCAACUCUUCCACCACAACCUGUCAAUAGAAAAGAACGUUCCAAAAAAAUUUGGCCCAGGCCAGAGCCUCAAGGGGAAUGGCAUGGCAGUGUCGGUCCGUGCUCUGGAGAUAAAAGACGACAAGCUGUACCACAGAAGAGCCCCACGGUGGAGGAAGAUAAUGAACCCAUGCUUUGCACCUUUUGUUUUCCACCCAGGAUAAAUUCUUGUACAACUCCAAAGACCCUCACACUGAUAGGUUCGUGUGGAUGUUCAAUCAAAAGAUUCUCCAGAUCGACCUGCAAGAGUGCAAAAAGUUGAUAAUACUGGUUUUGGAGAACGGGUGGUGCCUUUAUGAGAUUGAUCUCGGUGCCAAAACACUAUAUGUCAUGGACCCAAUGAUGGCAUCAUCCACACAGUAUAAGAUGGAGCGGAAACACAGAAACACAUGAAAACCAGCCGCCUUAUGUUCCAUUGCUUCAACAAGUGCCUUCACGAAUUGUAUCCAGAUUGGCAUUUUGCUACUUAUCCAUGGACUUACAAGUACAACUCGGGCAUGCACAAGGACUGCAGCAGUGCUGACAGAGGAUUCUAUGUGCUGUACUACAUCAAGGAGUUUGAUGGUGUGAUACUGAAAACUACCCCUACCCCAAAGGAGAUGGCAUAUCAGGUUCUGGCACUCAAGGGCAACAAGGCGGAUUUCCGAAACUGCAUGUAUGGGCGCAUCCUGGAGUAGAGACCACUACUAAUAAGUCAAUAAAAGGUGUGACUCCCUCGAGCCAAUCGAAGUUACGCAGAACAUUGGAGAUCAUCCUUGUUGCUUAUGCAGCUGAGGAUUUAUGUGACCCGCUCCAACAACUCCUUGUGUUGAUGUCUAUGUAUCCCUAUCGCAUGGCAAGACUUGUUAGCCUUAUUUGUAAUAGACCUCAUAUAUGGUUGUGUGCUAAGACUAUUUGUACGUGUAAUGGCACCUAUGGACAUGCAAUGUCCCUAUCUCUGUGCAUGGUUCAACCCCAAAAAACAAAAACAAAAAAGUGUACCUCAUGCCCUGACCACUCUGGCAGGUAUUGCGCCCAAGUUGGACAAUUUAUUCAGUGUUUGAUCUUCA